UGGAUCACCUCCUAACAGGGAGACAAACAACGAUUUUGAUGUCUGAGUUUUUUUAUUCUUAGGCCAAAAUCCUGUCACCUUAGGUCGAUCGGUACCUCAACUUUGAAGCUAAGAGUAUUCAGCAAUGGAUAUCUGCUUAGCGGAGAUUUUUAGUUCUUAAACUUUGUCUAGUUCACAACCCAUUAGGGAUGAGACUCCUGGGCCAUUAGCUCAGGUGGUUAGAGCGCACCCCUGAUAAGGGUGAGGUCCCUGGUUCAAGUCCAGGAUGGCCCAUUCGGUGUAGGGGGUUUAGCUCAGUUGGUAGAGCGCCUGCUUUGCAAGCAGGAUGUCAGGAGUUCGAGUCUCCUAACCUCCACUGACUACCAAAAUCCCCAUCUCCAAAACCUGGAGUAUGAACUCGUAUGGAUUGUGAUUUAGAUGUGUCCGCUAGAUGACCCUAGCUUCUUGUCAUUUUAAGGCAUGGAAAAGAUUCCAUGAUAUUUAAUUGAUAGGAUGCUGGGCUCGAUUCAAUGUAUUGAGAGAUCAAUGCAUUGUUUUGAUGUCUGGUCGAACCUUGACAACUGCAUAGUAAGUCUGGAAAGAAUAAAGCAUCUUUAUGGAUGCAUCAUUCUUGAGUGUUAAUUCACGAUGGGAUGAUGUUGAUUCUAAAGCAAGAGCCGAGACUCCAGCAUGUUCUUUCAAAUGUGUCGAGCAUUUGAGAGUUUGAUUUUAAUUUCUAUUUUUAGAGGUUAGAAGAAUCUGUUUCAACGACAGCAAGCGUGUUGGAGAUACAUUGGUCAAGCUACAAAGGGCUCACGGCGGAUACCUUGGCACACAGAGGCGAUGAAGG
rnacentral:tRNA from 1 species